rnacentral:rRNA from 1 species
GACGAACGCUGGCGGCGUGCUUAACACAUGCAAGUCGAACGGAAAGGCCCUGCUUGCAGGGUAUUCGAGUGGCGAACGGGUGAGUAACACGUGGGUGAUCUGCCCUGCACUUCGUGAUAAGCCUGGGAAACUGGGUCUAAUACCGGAUAGGAGCCAUUUUUAGUGUGAUGGUUUUAAAGUUUUUUCGGUGUAGGAUGAGCUCGCGGCCUAUCAGCUUGUUGGUGGGGUAAUGGCCUACCAAGGCGGCGACGGGUAGCCGGCCUGGGAGGGUGGACGGCCACAGUGGGACUGAGAUACGGCCCAGACGCCUACGGGAGGCAGCAGUGGGGAAUAUUGCACAAUGGGCGCAAGCCUGAUGCGGCGACGCCGCGUGGGGGAUGACGGACUUCGGGUUGUAAACUCCUUUCGCUAGGGACGAAGCUUUUUGUGACGGUACCUAGAGAAGAAGCACCGGCUAACUACGUG